GAGGGAAAGUUGCCAUAAAUGUCGUCGUUUGUUUAGUUAGAAAUGUUAUCGCACGGUGGCGCUUUACUUUAACACACUAGUGAUAUACUAGUUGGAAUUUUUGGCAGCGAAAGCUCAGUGUAAGAUCCAAUCUUCGAACCGAACGGUCUUCCGAAAAUUAGCGAACGAGUACAAGUGAUCGGUAGAAGUAGCCAACAGCUACGUUGUGGCAUUAAAAUAGUCGAAGAUAGUUAUUUUUAUUAAUAAAUAAAACGAAAUGGACGCGCGAUUUAGAAGCAAUCUUGCUAUGAUUGGCCGUAAUGAGCCCAUUACGAGGAAGGCUAGAUUUUGGCAGAGUUAUGUACGUGCUCUUAAAGGAACCGAUGACAUGAGAGCACCUGAACACACUCGUAGACCAAGAAGCAUAUUCAGCGAUUACCCUGAACUUCAUUCUUCAUCAUGGCCUUACGGAAAAUCUAUUUUUGACAAUCCUUCUCACGCAUCUGAUCGCAUUAAUGUACCUGGAUACAGGUACUUGCCCGUUCAUCGGGAAAUCUAUGGCUACUCACCGAGACAAUUGUAUCCUCACCAAUACAAACCCGUCGAGCGCUUCGUCUCCGCUAAACCUUUCGACGCGGAUCAAGCAUGGAGUGAUCAUUUGGACCGAUUGGCAGACAUCGAUAGAAUGUAUCCAUCAUCCUCAUUAUUAUCUCGCCACAGAUCACCCCCGCUGUCGACAAAACCGCUCUUUGACAUUCACGGAAAGCUGUUGGAUGAUCCAUUGACUUCAUUUCCUUCAAUGCUUGGAAGAAAAGCUUUCCAUGAUCUACUGGAGCCCCAACCGUCAGCACCCAUUUCGGCUUUUACCAGGGACCCAUGGUGGUACCCAUGCUCCGCACCAUAUAUCCCUCUUCACGCUCAAUGGAGCUCACCCUUCUAUCUAAGGGACAGCUAUCUCAGUCCCGUUAAACGUAAUUACCUGUGGAGCAGACAUCCCCUCAGGCCUCUUGACAAGUUUAAUGCUCUACUCGCGUCUAUUUUGUAAAUUUAUACCAUUGAGAUUGCGAGGAGAUAUAUAUAAAUAUAAAACAGGAUAAAACGAGAAAAAAGAACCGCGGAAAAAAAUUCUAUUACUAUUCGAAGCCCGUUCCAAGAGUUCUAUUUUCAAGACCAUGGUACAAUGAUUACCAUUAUUGAGAGCGAAACUUGUGCCCAUUAGAAGAAUAACACGUGUCAUGCCGAUGGUUAAAAUAUGGUAACGCGUAUGGAAAAAAAAAAUCAAAUAAAAGUAAGAGUGAACACAAGGUAAUGAAUGAAGAAAUGAAAAUUGAAAUAACUUAAAAAAUUAAUGGAGAGAGAUUUAAAUAUAUGAGUAAUCAAAACAAUAACGUACAGUGAAGAUGAUCGGGGCUCAAGAUAAACAAUAUUUUUUUUAAUUGAUCAUUGGCCUAAAAUAAAUUGAUAAUAAAUUUUAAUAAAUUAUGUUAUACAUAUAAAAUAUAUUUAUUUUUUUGUUAAAUUUAAUUUCAUUUCUACUUAAUUAUUGUAAGCUAUCAAGUAGAAAUAAAUUCAAUAAAAUGUGAUUCCCACGUAAAA